GGGAAACGCCCGGUUACAUUCCGAACCCGGAAGCUAAGCCUUUCAGCGCCGAUGGUACUGCAGGGGGGACCCUGUGGGAGAGUAGGACACCGCCGAAC
rnacentral:rRNA from 1 species